rnacentral:rRNA from 1 species
GAUGAACGCUGGCGGCGUGCCUAAUACAUGCAAGUCGAGCGAACAGACGAGGAGCUUGCUCCUCUGACGUUAGCGGCGGACGGGUGAGUAACACGUGGAUAACCUACCUAUAAGACUGGGAUAACUUCGGGAAACCGGAGCUAAUACCGGAUAAUAUAUUGAACCGCAUGGUUCAAUAGUGAAAGACGGUUUUGCUGUCACUUAUAGAUGGAUCCGCGCCGCAUUAGCUAGUUGGUAAGGUAACGGCUUACCAAGGCGACGAUGCGUAGCCGACCUGACAGGGUGAUCGGCCACACUGGAACUGAGACACGGUCCAGACUCCUACGGGAGGCAGCAGUAGGGAAUCUUCCGCAAUGGGCGAAAGCCUGACGGAGCAACGCCGCGUGAGUGAUGAAGGUCUUCGGAUCGUAAAACUCUGUUAUUAGGGAAGAACAAAUGUGUAAGUAACUAUGCACGUCUUGACGGUACCUAAUCAGAAAGCCACGGCUAACUACGUG